GAUGAACGCUAGCGGCAGGCUUAACACAUGCAAGUCGAGGGGCAGCGCGAUGUAGCAAUACAUUGGCGGCGACCGGCGCACGGGUGCGUAACACGUAUGGAACUUACCCUUUACUGGGAGAUAGCCCGGAGAAAUCCGGAUUAAUAUCCCAUAAUAAACGAGGUGGCAUCACUUUGUUUGAAAGCUCCGGCGGUAAAGGAUGGCCAUGCGCACGAUUAGCUAGUAGGUGAGGUAACGGCUCACCUAGGCUACGAUCGUUAGGGGGCCUGAGAGGGUUAUCCCCCACACUGGUACUGAGACACGGACCAGACUCCUACGGGAGGCAGCAGUGAGGAAUAUUGCGCAAUGGAGGCAACUCUGACGCAGCCAUGCCGCGUGCAGGAAGAAGGCGCUACGCGUUGUAAACUGCUUUUAACCGGGAAGAAUCAUGACGGUACUCGGAGAAUAAGAGGUUGCUAACUCUGUGCCAGCAGCCGCGGUAAAGUGU
rnacentral:rRNA from 1 species